CGGUGGCUGCUGCUGGGGAUGAGAAGAAAGAAGCGCGUAGGGUUCAGACUGCAUUGAGGGAGUUAUUUGAUUAUCUGGGCAUGUUUUUGGUGGGUGAUGCGGUUCCUUAUCUGCGGUGGUUGGAUUGGGGUGGACAUGAGAAGGCAAUGAAGAAAAGUGCAACGGAAAUGCACGCCAUUAUUGCAGAGUGGGUUGUAGAGCAUAAGCAGAGGAGAGCAAAAGGUGAUGCAAAAGGAGAACAGGACUUCAUAGAUGCGUUGCUUUCUGUGCUUAAUGGUGCAGACCUUGGCAGUUUUGAUGCUGAUACGAUCACCCAAGCCACAAGCUUGGUACGUAUAUAUAAUUUAUUAAAUUUGCAGGCAAAUAAUUAACCAUAAAAGGCUGGAGGUAGACACUAAACACAUCAAGAUUUUAUUUUUACUUUUCAAUACUUAUAAGCUAGUUGCAUGGUCUAUAAAAAGAAAAUGAAAACAUUAGGCAAUAAUUUUUUUUUUUUUGAAAACAUAUGUCCACUUUUAUACAUGACUCAUCCGACAUAUUUGUCUGCUCAUCAAUGGAUGAUGGUAGAGAAAUUAUCUUGUUAGAUUGUAUCUGUAGAGCAUAUGAUGUGACGGUUGAUGGUUAGAUUCUUUUUUUAAAUCUUUAAGAAUGAAAUUCAACUAUUAUUGCAGGAGGUACUGUUACAUUCUUUGAUUUACAAGAUGUAAUUUAAAAAGAUAAUCUCUUUAACAUUUUCGUCAAGAAUGUGUAAAUGUUAAUCAAGCAAAUAUUCCUUGGGCAGGCUAUUAUUGCAGGAGGUGCCGAUACCACCACGGUGGCAGUGACGUGGGCAAUAUCGUUAUUGCUGAACAACCCUCACGUUAUGAAAAAAGCUCUAAACGAACUGGACACCAAAAUAGGCAGACAAAGAGUUGUGAGUGAUGAAGAUAUAAGCAACUUGGUCUACAUCCAAGCUAUUGUAAAGGAGACGUUACGUUUGUACCCAGGAGGACCAUUAUCAGGGCCGCGUAUAUUCACCGAAGAUUGCACCAUUGCUGGCUACCAUAUUCGAAAGGGCACCCGGUUCAUCCCAAACUUCUGGAAGAUCCAAACUGACCCGCAAAAUUGGCCUGAGCCAUUCGAGUUCAAGCCAGAGAGAUUUCUUACCACACACAAGGAUGUUGAUCUGAAGGGUCAGCAUUUUCAGUUUCUUCCUUUUUCAAGUGGUAGAAGAGCAUGCCCUGGUUUGGCAUUUGGUCUUCAACUGGUGCAAUUUACAUUGGCUAGUUUUCUGCAUGCGUUUGAAAUCUCAAACCCGUCGAGUGCACCAAUUGAUAUGACAGAGAGUUUUGGAAUGACCAACCUUAAAGCAGCUCCGCUCAAUGUUCUCAUUAAACCUCGUUUAUCUUCUAAACUCUAUGGAUAAAAGAAAAAAAUAUAGAAUAUUAUGUGUGCAAUAUGAAUAAGAGGUCUUCGUUGUUAUUAGUUAUGUAUAAUUAUGUGUCCAUCUUUGUAAUAGUAAAAUCAAUAAAUCAACUGCCAAUGCAAGAUACAAAACCUAGCAACAAUGAGUGUUUGAGAAUUGGCAUAUUUAGCAAUAUAAAGGUACCCCAAAAAAGCCUCUAUUUACAUUUUCAAUUGGGCUAUCUUUUGGGUCUGUUGCCUCCGGAUAUUUUUGUUUUUCAAUUUGUUUGUAAAGAACCCACCCAUUUGCCAGUACACAAACAGGACAAAUUAAAAUAGUCCAUCUGCGAUUAUUAUCACAAAGCUAAUUUUGAUUAGGUUUUUCUUAUUAUUGAUUGAAAAACCAAGAGAUUUUCAUUACAUUAAGAGCUGGUUUGGUAUUACUGUGCUUUGAAAAAAAACUGCUUCUGCUGUGUUGUGAGAAUAAGCGGAUGUGAAAUAAAGCUGUAGAGUGUUUGGUAAACUUUUUUGUAAAAAUGCUUUUGAAAAAAAAAAACAGUAUUAUAGUGUUUGAUAAACUUUUAUGUAAAAUAGAUGUGAAAAAAAAGCUGGGUUUUCAAAGCUGGGUUUUGCAGCUUCUUGUUUUUGGUUUUUUUUCACCCAAAACUGUGAAAAAAAGCUGAAGCUGAAUGUUUACCAAACACAAAAAAGCUCCCAACUUUUUUUCAUACCAGCUUUUUUUUAAUCACCUCAAUCCCAAACUGCACCUAACUUGGGUCUAAACUGCUCUGAAGUGCAAAAUUUGCAUUGCAAUGAUAAGUUUACUGCUUACAUCACUUUGCAUAUCAGUAAUGUGAUAUCAAAAUGUGAUAUUUCUAGCAUUAUUUGUAGGGCAAAAAAGAAAUCCAAGAAAACCGCAUUCGAUCCGAAAAAUUUAAGCCAAACCUGAAAAUUCCAAAUUAUUUGGUUAUUGAAACCAAACAAUUCUUAAAACUUCGGUAUAAAAAUUUAUAUGUACUAAAGCUCAGCAGAUUAGCAUUGUUCACCAUGUGAGAGCGAGCACUGUUCACCAGCCGUUAAAAGGGAGGAAAUGCCCACGGUUUUUGCUUUGGUUCCUAUACUGUUUACACUUUGCUACAGGAAAAAGUUAGUUUUGUCCUUCCCGGCCUUGCGUCUGUUAUCAGCAAGCGAAUCAGGUUCGUCUCUCGCUCUCUCUCUCUCACAUUUUUUUUUUCAAAUUGGGACGUGCUGUCUUCUCCUUUUCCAUCUCCAUCUCUGCGCAACUUGCCAAAUCUCUCCUGGGAACCUUCCACCGCAUCGUUUUUGUAAUUUUGGCUUGAUCUGGAUGGCUUCAGAUCUCUGAAGCCAUUAUCUGUGAUGACACGUGGAAGACUGGGAUGAGAAGGAGAGAAGAGAAAGGAGUAAAAUGAGCAAUGGCUCCGGCCAAUGAGGGAGAAAGGAAACAAAGGAAAGGAGGGAAAGGAGAAGAAGAGAACCGGCCAACCCGGUUUCUCCACCCGACCCGCCAACUUGACCCGCUCAUAUCUCCUCCAUACGAACUCUGUUUUGGGUGAUCUUGAUGUCCAUGGAAAGCCCUUGAUGAGCCAUACAUCUAUGUAGUGUUAGAUUUCCCAAUUUCUUUCCCAUUUUUCUACUUCGAAGCCACAAAGCCCACGACUUUUUUGGCAACUUUAAUCUUUUUCCAGUGGCUCCGCGCGAGCUUCACCGUCAAUGACCACCACCAAAAGACUCCUCUCAACCCCAGGAGCAAGGCCCAAGCCUUUGAUGAGGUGACGAAGUUUGUUUUGGUGACGAAUCGACAACUACCCAAAUCGAGGGUUUCCGGUGGGUUUGAGUCAAUUUGGAGCCUUUUCCAGCCAAAUUAGACUUGACCACAGGUAUAAAGUUUGCUCUACUCUUUAAGAUCUUUAUUUAUAUAAAAUUUGAGAAUUUUUUAAAAUAGUUGAAAUUUUCCGGCUAGUCGGGGCGGCUGACCACCCCACAUGGCGACGAGUGGCCAGAAGGCCGUUGCUGUUAUUUUUAGGCUAAAUUAGAUGCCUUGAUUUCAGUUUUGAUAUUCGUAUGAUGUAGAUUGAUCGUUUGAACCUAAAUUCACUAUGAUACCUUACUUGAUCAAAAUAAUGAAUCGACGAUCCGACCGUUGGAUCGUCACCAAACUUUGAGACCUUAUCGUAUGUAAUAUUUGAGGACCUUAGGAGUUUACAGAUCGGGAAUCCAUCAUACUAAUCUUCCCGAAUUGGAUUUUCAAGUUUAUAAAAUAAAACGUUGACCACCACUUGAUUUCAUGAUUGGCGGAGAUCCGACCGUUGGAUUGGAAUGAAAUUUUAGUAUGUUGUUCUAGAAGCGUAAGGUGAACUACGCGGAACCUUUUACAACUAUUAACACAAUCUUCUCGAAGCAAUGAUAACCCGCACAUAAUCAACCUAACAUAAUCCAGGAUAGAAAUUAUAAAUACAAACCAAAUUCCUUUGUAUCCAUCAUGACAGCUAUUUCAGUUAGCUUUUGGAUCUCAAGAAAAUGAAAACCAGAUAUUACUCUACUUAUGAGAAAUAUCAGUGUCUCAGGCCGGAUGAUGAUGCUGUAACAACUCUAAGUAGUUUUCAAUACUUUGAUAUCUGCAAGUUUUGUUAAUAGUAAGCACAUUAGGUGAAAAUGAAAAUGAAAACAAGGAAAAUGAAAACUUUCCUUGUUGCAAAUCACUUUACGCAACAUGUCACCCGUUGGCAACAUUUUUUUCAUGCUAUGACCAAGAUUGGACUUCAAGUUAGUGAGUCUUAAACCAGUCCAAAACUGCACUAAACCUUUAGGAACAACCUAUCAAGAAAACUAAUAAUUUGAACAAGCUUUAGAAUCAGUUCUGCUUCAGGCUACACGAUUAUAUCACAUAUUGUCCGGUGGUAGUACAUUUAAGAAAGUCAACUAAGCAAAUAACAGCCUGUAGCUAAACGUUUCAUAUCUUUGAUCAGUGACCCCUAUGCAAGCUCAUUGAUAGCAUUUAAAAAUGAUCCAGUCAAGAAAAGUAUACAAAUUAGCUAAUGAUUUUGUAGAUACCUGUGCAGCGUUGUUAAAUUCAGGUAAAGGAUUCCCAUUAUUAUAUGUUGCUUUGACAAGUUCAUCGAAAAUGUAGCCAUAUAGUACGUCACUCUUCUCCAGUUUUUUGUUCAGACCUUCCACAUGGUUUCGAUGAUGGCCUCCCCAAUGAACUUCCAAUAUUCUCUGACUCAUAUACGGCUCCAAAGCAUCCUGAAAACAGAAACAUUACAUUUCAGUCAAGGAAGAUCAUAUGCAUAUUGCAAGCAUAAUAUAAUUACAUGUAUGUAUCAUCACGUGACAAGAAUAAGCAGCUCGAAACAGAAUAGUAAUCUCUACACAAUAAGAUUUACAACACGAGAUGGAUAACUUCAUAGAAUCAAAUGCUACACCACAAGAACUUCAGAAACCAAACAAUCAAAUUACUAAAGUAUUGCAAAUCCCAUCAGGUAAUAAGAAACCACAAAACUUCUCUUGGUGCACCUAAUGUGACAAUAGAAGCUGACUUGGCCAACCCGAUUUCAUGUCCUUAAAAUUGGUUUAAGGAGAAACUAGUUUACUUACAAGAAUAUAAGGAGGUUUCUUCAAUCCAUAGUAAGCACAAACUAACCCCAACUUUUGGCCUUGAACGGCUACAAUGAUUCCAGUCUCUUAAACUGUAACAACAACUAUUAACAUACAUAGAGAGUAAUUCUUAAACCUUGAAAUUUAGCCCAUUUCCUAAUAAUUUAUCCCAAAUAAAAACCUGAUUCAAUCCCCAUUUCAAAAUUAAAACCCUAAUUCCCAUUCACAAUUUUUCAAACCCUGAAAUCCAUCCCAUGCCCUAGUAAUUUAUCCCAAAUUAAAACCCUAAAUUCUAAAAUUCAUCUCAAUUCACGAUCAAAAUCCUUAAUUUCACAAUUCCAUAAUUUGUAAUUAGACUUACUUUCGAGAUAGACGAGCACGACGAAGGGGGUGGUGACUGCCUGUCGUUUGGAACGAAAGGGAGAGAGACAACCGAUAGUGGGUUCGAGAUUGGGGCAAUUUAGGGUUCGAGCGAAGAGGAGGAAGCCUACGGGAGAGAGGGUAUGAUGAGCGAAGAGGAGGAAGGCUACGAAAGAGAGAGACCGAGUGAGAGAGAGAGAAAGAGAGAAGGGGUCUGGGAAGAGGAGGAGGGCGUGAAAAGCAAAGGGGUCUUGGAAGAUUUUGUCCAAAAUUAUCAAAACUGGCGCUUAUUUUUUACACUUGUGCCAAAAUAUUCAAAACUGGCGCGACAUAGGUAUACAAUUCGACGUCGCGCAAAGUGUUUUUGCGCGACGACAACAUAAAGGCGUCGGUAUUUUUUAUAUAAAAAAAUUAUUAUAAAAAUAACUGAAAAUGUGACUUUACUCAUUUUAAAUUUAAUUAUUUUUACAUAAAACUCAUAAUAAUAUAUUUUUUAACAAAAACCUGACUAAUAAAUUGGUAGCUACUUAAUAAAUAUACAUAUCAUUCAAUUUCUUAAGUAUUAUACGUAAAAAAUAAAUAAAUUUAAAUCUACUUGAUAAAUAUAUAUACCAUUGAACUUGAUGCGAUACCACAUUGUACGUAACUAAUUUAAAUGAUCUAACCGUCAAACUUGUUUGUAUAUUGAUGCGUGAAAUAAGUUAACACACAAAUUAACCCUCUUUUUGACAAUUGUAGUAUAGAUGUAAGUAGGGUAUCGUUCUAGGCCGGGGAUUAGGAGGGAUUGCUAAUCUAUUCUAAAUUAAUUUAAAAAUAUUAAACAAGACUCAAGGACACAAAACUAGGCUAAAAACUCUAAUAACUCGAAACACACUUAGAAUGACUCAAAAUAAUGAAAACAAUCAAAUUAGACACUAGGAACUGAAAUGGACGGAAAUUGAAUUAAAAGACUAACAACAAUGAAAACUAACUAAAUAAUAUAAUUUAAUAAUGGGGGGGUUUGGUUUUUACGAGAAGUAAAUUAAACUUAAAUAAAUUACAGAAUUGACAAAAGCAUGAAAUUAAGGUGAAAGGAUAGGUGACGGACUAGCUAGAGGGUUCUUCUCCACACAUGACACAAAUGCAACCUAAAUUGAUUUUCAGUUGUUCUUUCAAUAAAUUGUAAAUCUCAACGCCCCAAAUUAACCGUGAAUUGCACUAAUUAACCCUCAGUUUUUCCACAAGUUAUUAGGUUGGAUGAUUGCAUACGACAACCCAAAACAUUCCCUACAAGUUCCCUACAUGAAUUGCAUAAUAGAGAUACAAGCAAGAAUCAUUAAGUUCUAUGAAAAACAUAAGCAUUGACGAGGCACUCGUUACUAUGAUUUGCAUGAAACUUAUGCCAAGAAUUUACUUAACGUGAUUGGGACUAGCAACCUUCACUACUUGUGAAUAUAAGUUCAUAACGAUUAGGUGAAACUCCCUUAUAUUCUAGCGUCAAAUUCAUGCAUGUAAAUUAAGUAUGCAUUCUUAAUCGACAUACAAAAAUAAGCUAUCAAUCAAGCAGUUAAGCAAAUUAAAUCACAACUCAGAAAUCACAACUGAAGGUAAUCAAUUCAUAUUACAAAUAUAUUCAUGGCUUUGAAUUAACCUCUAGCCAAAAUAAAAUUAGUUACAUAUUAUUAAAACAGAAAUAAAAUAUAAGUUUGGAAAGAUUUAACCAAAAAAAAUAGAGUGAAGCUCCUUCUCUGUCUCUCUGUGCUCCCCCUGUCUCUGCCUUCCGCGCCUUCAGUUUUCUUCUUUUCUCCUGCGUCAGUCUGUCCUCCCCCCGCCCCAGUCCUUGCUGCUGUCACUCUCUGACUCUUUUUUUUUAUUUUCUGUCUGUUUCGUUUCUCUUGGUCUCCGCCCCGCCCCUGCUAGUCGGUCUCCCCUAUUUUUCUAUUCUCCUUCCCUCCUAUCUGCCGCGCCUCCUGGCCUCAUCUUAUUCUUCUUUCAUUUUUUUAUUCCUUCUUUUUUCUUUUUCUUGUCUGCCAUGCCUCAUUCCUUUUAUCAUUUUCUGUUUUUCUUUCCUCCACCAUUCCUUUCUUUAUGUUUCUUUUAUUCCUCCAUCAUUCCAUGUCUCCCCUUUUAUUUAUUUUCUUAUUCUUCUUUCUCCACACAAUCCGCAAGUCUCUCCCUUUCCUCUUUUAUUAUUCAAUUUCUUGAUAGUCCACUUCCUUCCUUUGUUUAAUGACGUGCUGCAUUCUGUCUUUUCUCUAUUCUUUUCUGCCCAUUUUGUUUGAAAUUAAUCCUACAACAAAAUUAACUGUACAUUAACACGAGGUAAGGUAAAAUGCCACAAUUUUGACACAAAAACAUCCAAAGACUUUAGAAAUGAAUGGUAUAAAUGCAUGAAAUAUAUGAGUGAUCAUAUAUGCUUCAAGAUUGCAUACACCAAAAAUGGCAAAAAACAAACCUUCAUAGUGAUAGUAACGAGACAAAACUUUUCGACAGCUAUAAACGAAAAAAUCACGAUUUAACGGUUAUUUUAACUCCAAUUUUGAUGAUUUUGUACAACUACACUCUUGGAUCUUAUAUGAAUACAAGGAACUGAUUCGAUCAUCAAUUUAAAACAUUUACAUAAGUGGAUACCACAAAAUCUUAUGUUAUACUUGAUGAAAGUAUAAAUAAAAUAUAAGUGUUAGGAAAUCUAUUGUUUUAAUGGGAUACGCAUUGUACAAAACAAGUUUCAAUGAUCCAACUGUCAAACUUGUUUGUAUAUGCUUCAAGAUCACAUACUCCAAAAAUGAAAAAAAAACAAACCUUCAGAGAUCAAGUAACGGGACAAAUCUUUUCGACGGUUAUAAACAAAAAAAUCACUAUUUAACGGUUAUUUUAACUCCGAUUUUGAUGAUUUUUUACAACUACACUUUUGGAUCCUAUAUGAAUACAAGGAACUGAUUCGAUCGUCAAUUUAAAACAUUUACAAAAGUGGAUACCACAAAAUCUUAUGUUAUACUUGAUGAAAGUAUAAAUAAAAUAUAAGUGUUAGGGAAUCUAUUGUUUUAAUGGGAUACGCAUUAUACAAAACAAGUUUCAACGAUCCAACCGUCAAACUUGUUUGUAUAUGCUUCAAGAUCACAUACGCCAAAAAUGGAAGAAAAAAAAAACCUUCAGAGAUCAAGUAAUGGGACAAAUCUUUUCGACGGUUAUAAACGAAAAAAUCACGAUUUAACGGUUAUUUUAACUCUGAUUUUGAUGAUUUUUUACAACUACACUCUUGGAUCCUAUAUGAAUACAAGGAACUGAUUCGAUCAUCAAUUUAAAACAUUUACACAAGUGGAUACCACAAAAUCUUAUGUUAUACUUGAUGAAAGUAUAAAUAAAAUAUAAGUGUUAGGAAAUCUAUUGUUUUAAUGGGAUACGCAUUGUACAAAUCAAGUUUCAAUGAUCCAACCGUCAAACUUGUUUGUAUAUGCUUCAAGAUCGUAUACGCCAAAAAUGGCAAAAAACAAACCUUCAGAGAUGAAGUAACGGGACAAAUCUUUUCAACGGUUAUAAACAAAAUAUCACGAUUUAACGGUUAUUGUAACUCCGAUUUUAAUGAUUUUUUACAGCUACACUCCUGGAUCCUAUAUGAAUACAAGGAACUAGUUCGAUCGUCAAUUUAAAACAUUUACACAAGUGGAUACCACAAAAUCUUAUGUUAUACUUGAUGAAAGUAUAAAUAAAAUAUGUGUUAGAGAAUCUAUCGUUUUAAUGGGAUACACAUUGUACGAAACUAGUUUCAACGAUCCAACCGUCAAAUUUGUUUGUAUAUGCUUUGAGAUCGUAUACGCCAAAAAUAGUAAAAAACAAACCUUCAGAGAUUAGGUAACGGGACAAAACUUUUCGACGGUUAUAAACGAAAAAAUCAAGAUUUAACGGUUAUUUUAACUCAAAUUUUGAUUAUUUUUUACAGCUACACUCCUGGAUCCUAUAUGAAUACAAGGAUCUGAUUCGAUCAUCAAUUUAAAACAUUUACACAAGUGGAUACCACAAAAUCUUAUGUUAUACUUGAUGAAAGUAAAAAUAAAAUAUAAGUGUUAGGAAAUCUAUUGUUUUAAUGGGAUACGCAUUGUACAAAACAAGUUUCAAUGAUCCAACUGUCAAACUUGUUUGUAUAUGCUUCAAGAUCGCAUACUCCAAAAAUGAAAAAAAAAAACAAACCUUCAGAGAUCAAGUAACGAGACAAAUCUUUUCGACAGUUAUAAACAAAAAAAUCACUAUUUAACGGUUAUUUUAACUCCGAUUUUGAUGAUUUUUUACAACUACACUUUUGGAUCUUAUAUGAAUACAAGGAACUGAUUCGAUCGUCAAUUUAAAACAUUUACACAAGUGGAUACCACAAAAGAAACAGGCAAUGCAAGAACCCCAAUAGAAAAGCAAAAGGAAAAUAAAAAAACUUUGCGCAACGGAGGUACAACCGUCGCACAAAGUUUUUUUUUUUUUUUUUUUUUUGUUCCUAUGUUCCACAGUUUUAGCUUCUUGUAUAUCUCUUCCACUCCUGCCUUAAAAUUAUUGUUUAAGGACCUAUAUGAUGAGACCACGUAUUCAAAAUCGUAAAGGGUAGAGACUACACCUAAAAUGAUUACUAACCACGUAAUAGAAUAGUGGUUUGACAAAAAUAUAAACUAGCUUUUUCUCUAAAUCUCUAACAUUCUAGUUUCCUUCUCCCAAUUUAGUGAGAAAUGAAAUCAUUUUUUAGCACACAUCAAUCUAUCCCUAAAUUGGAUCAAGUUAACUGAGCAGCUUGCAGUUUCUUAGCUUUUGUUUCCCUAAACCUAUCAAAAUCCUUCAUACUCCUAGUCAUUCAUUCUACUCAUUCAAUUGUUCAAAACCAAAACUCAACUUGUUAAAAAUAAGCAUUGACAAAGAUAAUUAAAGAAAAACAUAAAUACACAAAAAUAAAAAAAUCCGAACAUAAAUGUAAUCAAUAAAUAGUUAAUUAAUUAAUCAAAUAAAUACAAUACUUGAAGGUGAAGAUGGUGAAGGUUGAGAGAGAUGGAGAGUCUGAAAGAGAGAGGUUGAGUGUGAAGAAAAAGGCCAUUGUGUGUGGUUAUUUUAGAAAAAAAAAUCGUCGACUUUGCGCAACGCUUCAUACGUUGCGCAAAACAGCAUUGCGCGACGUAGGUUCAAUUACGUCGCGCAAAGUUGUUUUGCGCGACGUAGGUGCACAUGUGUCACGCAAAGAUGGGAUGGGUUGGCGCCAAAAUUUUACGUGCGCAAGUUUCCGUCGCGCAAACAUGUUUUUGUACUAGUGAUUGUCAGUUUUUCAAGAGAUCCUCGUAAGGACUCCAUGUUCAGGGUAUUACUGGCCCUGUUUUCAUGUAGAACCUCACACUCAGACACAUCAAGUGUUUUCAAGGAAGAAAGAUGAGUAGGCAAGUCUCCUAUCAGCUUCGGACACUCUCUUAAUAUCAGCUCCUGAAGACGAGGGAAGUCUGGACUUUCACCACCACUUGGACUAGGCUGCCAUUCCUCCACUCUGGCAUCUCCCGAAACUCUAGCUUCUCUAAACAUUGAAAUGGUUGAUUUCCCCCGUACAACUCACCACCAGCCGGCAUGUCAUAAAAUAAUAAAUCUUCAAAAUAAUCAAAAUUCGUUAAACGUCAGUUUUACUAUUCAAACCGGCAUGCUGCAACGAACAGUUAAGUAAAGGGUCCAAAACGGCAUGUCAUAAAAUAAUAAGGGUCCAAAACGGCAUGUCAUAAAAUAAUAAGGGUCCAAACCGGCAUGUCAUAAAAUAAUAAAUCUUCAAAAUAAUCAAAAUUCGUUAAACGUCUAGUAAAACGGGGGAUUGAGCACUUUUACUAUUUUGUCAUCCUCAAUUAAAUUGUCUUUUUUAAGAAUUGUGAAAAGGAAAGGGUAUUUUUAAGUGAAGAGGAUCAUCUUCUGAGUUCAGGAUGGGAAUCCUCCUGAUCUGAUCAGGUUAUCCGGAUCAUUCAAAUUUAAUUCAACGGUUGUAAUUAUUAUAACUUUUAGAGGACCCUCCUAUUUAGAACCAUUGGAUUAAAUUUGAACGGUCCGGAUGACCUAGUCAAGAGGAUCCCCAUCUUGAGCUCAGGAGGAUCCUCUUCCAUUUUUAAAUUUACACAUAUUAAUUAUGAUUCAAAAAUAAAAUUAAAUAUAUGUUUGGUUAACCGCACCCUAAAAAUUUUGAGAACCGAUUGCCAAACUGAUUGAGAUCGGUACGGUUUGGUUUAGCCAUCGAAAAUUAAAUAUAAAAAAACCAAACCUAGCUUCGGGUGGGAUUCAAACCGAUUGCCAAACGUUAUUUCCCUUUGUCACAUGUCGACUCUCGAUGUAUGUUGGGAUCCGGGCGUUACACAAACUUAAUCACCACAAAAGGGACUAAAAUGAUUAGUAUGUCAUCAAUGUGUGAUAAAAAAUUACUUUGUAGCUUCGCCACAACAGUCUACCUUUUGAGGAUCGAAAAGACUCACAGAGGCAUUUCAACCUCUCAUUGACCAUUAUCGUGUGAUACACACGCGUUAAGAAUUUAACCCAAAACAAACUGUGUAUAAUAUAUGAGUAUGAAAUUCGUUUUCAAUCAGUAGGUCAUCCCUUAGCGUGAGGGCAAUGAUAUUUUUUUCAAUAGGUCAUCCCAUACUGGAAUUGUCCCCAAUGUGUAAAAAUCACGAGCGUUAGACCAAUUCCAGCGUAUAGUUGUUUAUUUGUAAGGUUAUUUUCGUGGGGGCAAUGAUAUUAAAAUUAUGCACACAUCACACAGAAGACAAUCCCAUCUUACUUGCAUGUUGCAACGAACAGAUAAGUAAAGGGUCCAAACCGGCAUGUCAUAAAAUAAUAAAUCUUCAAAAUAAUCAAAAUUCGUUAAACGUCUAACAAAACGGGGGAUUGAGGAGUUUUAAUAUUUUGUCUUUUUUAAGAGUUAUGAAAAGGAAAGGGUAUUUUUAAGGGAAGAGGAUCCUUUCAUGAGUUCAGGAUGGAAAUCCUCCUGAUCUGAUAGGAUCAUCUGGACCGUUCAAAUUUAAUCAAACGGUUGUAAUUAUUAUAACUUUUAGAGGACCCUCUUAUUUAAAACCGUUGGAUUAAAUUUGAAUGGUCCGGAUGACUUGAUCAAGAGGAUCCCCAUCCUGAACUCAGGAGGAUCCUCUUCCAUUUUUAAAUUUACACGUAUUAAUUAUGAUUCAAAAAUAAAAUUAAAUAUAUGCGGGUCGGUUUGGUUAACCGCACCCUAAAAAUUUUGAGAAUCGAUUGCCAAACCGAUUAAGAUCGGUACGGUUUGGUUUAGCCAUCGAAAAUUAAAAAAAAAAAAAAAACAACCCAAGCUUCGGGUGGGAUUCAAGCAGUUUAGUCGGUUUUUUUUUUAAAUGCCCAGCCGUAUGUUCUACGUAGAACCCAACGUAAUUUUUUUAUCUAAAUAAUUAAGAUCCCCGUAAGCAAAUUCAUCAAUUAUACUUUACUUUAUAGAUUUUACAUUUUUCGAAUUCUUAAAAAUAUUCCUAUUACAUGUUUGAUGUAAACAAUUAAUUCUAUAUGGGUUCUUAGCUUUGAUGAUCGCUAAAGGUAAAUUUGAACCCCAUUAUUACUAACACAUUGUGAGACUUAGUCCACUCUCCAUCCUUUCAAUGUAGAUAAUAUCAUUUGUUAAAAAAAAAACAAUAUAUCUUUUACCUUUUAGUUAGUCAUAAUUUUUUCAUUUCUCCCCUCAACUCGGAGAUAAAGAGUUAUGUAUUUCAAUACAACCAUACGUAAUAAUCAAGCCCUUACUUCUAUAUAUACGUGUGUGUAUGACAAGGUGAUAAAUCAACUUAAGCCUUUUCCCAGUUCAGCAAAAAUCAUUUUGCCUCAAGCUUCUAAUGACAGUUGCAAAAAUGGAUUCUCUGCCUUAUGCAAACUCUAUCACUGCUGGCCUGUUCACAGUAAUCAUCGUGUUCUAUUACUUAUCUCGAAGAUGGAGAGCUUCCAAUCACGAGGGCAAAUUAUCACCACCAGAAGCCAAGGGUGGAUGGCCUAUAUUUGGUCACCUUCAUUUGUUCGGAGGCCCCACACCUCCUCACAUAACUUUGGGAGCCAUGGCGGACAAGUACGGACCCAUUUUCACUAUCCGCCUUGGCGUCCAACCGUCGUUGGUGAUAAGCAGCAGUGAGAUCGCAAAAGAAUGCUACACAACCAAUGACUUGAGCAUACUCGGUCGCCCAAAGAUGGUGGUUGCAGAUCACGUUACCUACAACUAUGCCAUGUUUGCGUUCGGACCACCUGGACCCUAUUGGCGACAAAUUCGCAAGAUCGUUACCUUGGAGUUGCUCUCAGUCCGGAAGGUUGAGCUGCUCAAGCACAUUCGAGUGUCGGAAGUGGCUACUUUCUUAAAAGAAUUGCACGACCAUUGGAGUACAAAGAAAAAGGAGGGCUCGAAAGAUGGAGUGGUUGUAGAGCUAAAGCAAUGGUUUGGGGACAUGAUGCUGAACGUUAUUCUUACAAUGGUGGCUGGAAAGCGGUUUUCGGUGGCUGCCACUGGGGGGAUGAGAGAAAAGAAGCGCGUAGGGUUCAGACUGCAUUGAGGGAGUUCUUUGAUUAUCUGGGCAUGUUUUUGGUGGGUGAUGCGGUUCCUUAUCUGCGGUGGUUGGAUUGGGGUGGACAUGAGAAGGCAAUGAAGAAAAGUGCAACGGAAAUGCACGCCAUUAUUGCAGAGUGGCUUGAAGAGCAUAAGCAGAGGAGAGCAAAAGGUGAUGCAAAAGGAGAAAAGGACUUCAUAGAUUCGUUGCUUUCUGUGCUUGAUGGUGCGGACCUUGGCAGUUUCGAUGCUGAUACGAUCACCAAAGCCACAAGCGUGGUACGUAUAUAUAAUUUAUUAAAUUUGCAGGCAAAUAAUUAACCAUAAAAGGCUGGAGUUAGACACUAUACACAUAAAGAUUUUAUUUUUACUUUUCAAUACUUAUAAGCUAAUUGCAUAGUCUAUAAAAAGAAAAUGAAAACAUUAGACGAUAAUAUUUUUUUUUUUUAAAAACAAAUUAUGUCCAAUUUUAUAUAUGACUCAUGUGACAUAUUUGUCGGCUCACCAAUGGGUGAUGGUAAAGAGAUUAUCUUCUUAGACUGUAUAUGUAGAAUACAUGAUGUAGCGAUUGUUAGAUUCUUUCUUUAAAUCUUUAAUAAUGAAAUCCAACCAUCAAUUAUCAUAUUCUUUGAUUUACAAGAUGUGAUUUAAAAAUAUAAUCACUAACAUUUUCGUCGCCUAAAGAACGUAUAAAUGUUAAUCAAGCAAAUAUUCCUUGGGCAGAAUAUUAUUGCAGGAGGUGGCGACACCACCAUGGUGCCAUUGACGUGGGCAAUAUCAUUAUUGGUGAACAACCCUCAAGUUUUGAAAAAAGCUGUAAACGAACUGGACACCAAAAUAGGCAAACAAAGAGUUGUGAGUGAGGAAGAUAUAAGCAACUUGGUCUACAUCCAAGCUAUUGUAAAGGAGACGUUACGUUUGUACCCAGUAGGACCAUUAUCAGGGCCGCGUUUAUUCACCGAAGAUUGCACCAUUGCUGGCUACCAUAUCCCAAAGGGCACCCGGUUGAUCCCGAACUUCUGGAAGAUCCAAACUGACCCGAAAAAUUGGCCUGAGCCAUUCGAGUUCAAGCCAGAGAGAUUUCUUACCACACACAAGGAUGUUGAUCUGAAGGGUCGGCAUUUUCAGUUUCUUCCUUUUUCAAGUGGUAGAAGAUCAUGUCCUGGUUUGGCAUUUGGUCUUCAACUGGUGCAAUUUACAUUGGCUAGUUUUCUGCAUGCGUUUGAAAUCUCAAACCCGUCGAGUGCACCAAUUGAUAUGACAGAGAGUUUUGGAAUAACCAACGUUAAGGCAACUCCACUCAAUGUUCUCAUCAAACCUCGUUUAUCUUCUGAACUUUAUAAAUAAAAGAAGAAAAUACAGAAUAUUAUGUGUACGAUAUGAAUAAGAGAUUUUCGUUGUUAUUAGUUAUGUAUAAUUAUGUGUCCAUCUUUGUAAUCGUAAAAUCAAUAAAUCAACUGCCAAUGUAAGAUACAAAACCUAGCAAUAAUGGGUGUUUGAGAAUGGGUAUAUUUAGCAAUAAAAAAGUACCCCAAAAAAGCCUCUAUUUACAUUUUCAAUUGGGCUAUCUUUUGGGUCUGUUGCCUCCGGAUUUUUUGAUUUUCAAUUUGUUUGUAAAGAACCCACCCAUUUGCCAGCAUAAACAGGACAAAUUAAAAUAGUCUGAAGUGCAAAAUUUGCAUAGCAAUGACAUGUUUACUGCUUAAAUCACUUUGCAUAUCAGUAAUGUGAUAUUUCUAGCAUUAUUUGUAGGGCAGAAAAGAAAUCCAAGUAAACCGAAUUCGAUCCGAAAAAUUUAGGCCCAACUUGAGAAAAGCCAAACCUGAAAAUUCCAAAUUAUUUGUUAUCGAAACCAGUGUUCUAAAAAUCGGCCUAGGCGGCCGCCUAGGCACUGGGCGGAGGUGUGCCGAGGCGAUUAGGUCCGAAUCGUUAAGAAAAAUCGGGGAGCUGUUAGGCGCCCGCCUAGGCGUUCUUAGGCGGCCUGGGCGGUCUAGGCGGCUAUCUAGGCGGAGUGAAACGAUUUCCUGGGAAGAAAUUCCAAACAGAAAUCGAAAAUCACAAACUCAAAUUUAAACUUGAAAUUAACAUGCAGAGCAUGGGUUAAGCUACCUGAGUUUCUAACGGGACUAACUCGAGCUCAUGGGACCCCAAGUUCGACGGGUCCCUCGCCGGAGCUCCACGCCAGAAGCUCAAUUUUCAAAGGUUGUAGUUCGAUUCCAUUAGAGCAACUCUCACCGAGAGAACCCCUGCUUGGAUUCUCCUACUUUCCAUUAAAUCAAAACAGGAAUGGCACCAGUCAAUGAGGGAGAAAGGAAACGAGGGAAAGGAGGGAGAGGAGAAGAAGAGAACCGGUCAAUCCAGUUUUUCCACCCGACCCGCCAACUUGACCCACUCAUAUCUCUUCCAUACGAACUCCGUUUUGGGUGAUCUUGGUGUCCAUGGAAAGCCCUUGACGAGCCCUACAUCUCUGUAGUGUUAGAUUUCCCAAUUUGUUUCCCAUUUUUCUAGUUCGAAGCCACAAAGCCCAUGGCUUUUUCGAUGGAUUUAAUCUUUUUUCGGUGGCUCCGGCAAGCUUCACCAUCGAUGACCACCACCAAAAGACUCCUCUCAACCCUAGGAGCAACGCCCAAGCCUUUGAUGAGGUGACGAAGUUCGUUUUGGUGACGAAUCGACAACUACCCAAAUAGGGUUUCUGGCGGGUUCGAGUCAAUUUGGAGCAUUUUCCAGCCAAAUUGGACUUGACCACAGGUAAAAGUUUGUUUUACUCUUUGAGAUCUUCAUUUAUAUAAAAUUUGAGAAUUUUUGGAAAUAGUUGAAAUUUUCCGGCGAGUCUGGAUGGCUGACCGCCACCCAUGGCAGUGAGUGGCCAGAGGGUCGUUGAUGCUAAUUUUAGGCUAAAUUAGAUACCUUGAUUUCAGUUUUGAUAUUCGUAUGAUGUAGGUUGAUCGUUUGAACCUAAAUUCACUACGAUACCUUACUUGAUCAAAAUAAUGAAUCGACGAUCCGACCGUUAGAUUGUCACUAAACUUUGAGACCUUAUCGUAUGUAAUAUUUCAGGACCUUAGGAUUUUAAAGAUCGGGAAUCCAACGUACGAAUCUUCCCGAAUUGGAUUUUCAAGUUUAUAAAAUAAAACGUUGACUGCCACGUGAUUUCAUGAUUGGCGGAGAUCCGACCGUUGGAUCGGAAUGAAAUUUUAGUAUGUUGUUCUAGAAGCGUAAGGUGAACUACGAAUGGCUUGAUCCCUUCGUUUAGUGUAUGUUGGCAGUCUAACUAGGAUGUUAGAUGCAGCCAUAAAUUAAACAAAAUGAUUAUUUUUUUUAGUGUAGUUAGUUAGAAUUAUAAUUAACCAUUAUUUUAUUGUGGCCUACCUGUGUGUUUGGCUUCCGAAUUAGAAAUUUCGGGUCGUUACAAUGAGGGUACAAUUCGGAAUGGGGAUAUGCAGGUAUAUAUUGAUUUCAUAUCUGUUGUAUUGGUUGAAGCUUUAUUAACGGUACUAGAGUUGUUAAAUUUGUCCACCAUAUAUAUUCAAUAAAUUAUGUCCCAAUGUUGUUGUUGCUGUUACUCAAUAAUGGGGUUUCUUAAGGUAGACUGUUAUCAAGUUCGAAUUUUCUAAUUUUCUUUCUACAAAUUAUUUUGUGUUUUAGGAACUGUAGUUGUAUAAUUUUAAGUGACUGAAAAUUGGAUUUGGUGAUUCUCUGUUUUUUUUUCUUUUAUUAUUUUUAUUAAUUGCCAUAUACAACUUUUGUGUAGGUUUAUGUUGCUGUAAUUUUGCAUUGCCUAUUGAAUAACACAUUAUAAUCUUCCAAUAAAUGGAGUCUUUGUCACUUAUACAUCAUAUAUUGCAAUCAAAUAAGGUGAAUUCUAAAAUAAUGGAGUCUUAGGCUCUUAAUGCAGAUAACAUUGUUUGUUCAAAAUAAGUACGAAGGUGAAUUCCAAAAUUAAAAGGAAACCCACAAUUUCUUACAAAAUUAUAAUAAACGCAUCUCUGUUAAUAGGUGUUGACGCUGUAUCACAAAAAGUCUUAUUGCAGUAAGCAAAUCAUUUGUUAUAUUAUUUUAUUAUACUUUAUGUUCUUGGUACAUAAAAGUUGAGAGAGGGAGAGAUGAGGCACUCUUACCUAGGCUAAGAGCAACUUCACCACCGUUGCUUAUUACCUUGGGGAAAUACCCAACUACUCCACUUCCUUAAAACACUCCACCCUACUCGAGCAAUUGGGCUCAAGGCGAGCUCGAUGGAUUAGUCAGACAAUAAUCAUUUGGCCCAGUGUCCUGUUUAUAUGAUGCAAGGCUGGCAUCAUUCACAAUUUAAUUUAGGAAAUUGUUAUUGGCACUCCAAAUUUCUCAUUUUACACUCUAAAUUUUUUAUAUUUAGAAAGAAAAAUACAUUUGUGAUGAGUGUAGAAUGAGAUUUUUGUAGUGUCAAUAACACUUCCCUUUAAUUUAUUAAAAAUCAUUAUAAAAUAUUAAAAAAACUAAUUACAAAUAUAAAAAAUUAGAAUUUUUUCUAUAAAUACCUAUCCACGUUCUUUCACUUUACACUACAUUUCAACAUUUUCAAAUACAUUCACCAGUUUUUUAUUAUUAUUAUCCUAAAUUAAAAAUAAUAUUAUCUUUCAUUAUUUUAUAAAACAAAAAAUACUAAUAUUUUAAUACGAAUUGCCUAGGCUAUUCAGUUUAGGGGUGGAGAUGCACUUAGGCAAUUAUUUUCACUGCCGACAGUUACUAUUCAUUUAAGGGGAUUGAGUUGCCUGUUGCCCAAAAGGGGCCUUACUACACUGGAACUACUCUAAGGUAUACCACAAGCCUCAUUGAGGAUUUAGACAGGAGUCCUAAUUCCUUUUUUUAGUUUUUACAUAUUGCUCAUCAAGAGGGAUUGUCGGCAUCGAAACUCGAAUUUAGACCUUUAUAUUAUUUACUCAUGUUGACUAGUUUAUUAUACUUUAGUAAUAGGCUAAAUAGCUAAAAUGGUCCCUGAUUUGCAUAAUCAAUAGAAAUGGUCAUUGUGAUUGUCCACCAUCCAUGAUUCUUUUGGGCAAUUUUCAAAACUUCGUAACUCAAUUAAUUCUAAACCAAAUUCGAUCCAUAAUAUAUCAAAAUGAAGAUAGGAAAGUGUAAAACAAGAUUAUACCUAUUUGGAAGCCCAAUGGUUGCCGGAUAUAACCCGAAAAUAGCCUGAAAGGUGGCUGGUCCGCGGAAAAACUGACAACUCGCCGUAAACUGUGUAAACUUUAAACGUUCAUAACUUCUUCAAUACUCAACGAAAUCGAGUGAUUCUGUUUGGGCUCGAUUUUACAAUAUCGGCUCGAGCCAUCAAGGUCGUUGAAUGAGUAGGUUCUAGGCCGUUGGAUUUCUUAUUUUUCUAGAUAUUACUAUUGGAUUAUUAUAGUAAUUAUCUUAUAAAAUAUAUUUUUGGAAGCAAAGGAGAUCAAUUUCAGUUUGAAUUGCUACACUUACAUGAUUGGUUUGAGAGCUAACGUGGCAAGUUAAAAGAUUAUCUUCCCUGCAUUUAUGCAAAUACAAUGGGGUAAAAGAUGAGAUCAUAUUGGUCAAGGUUAGUUGGCGUGGAUAAAAAUGAUCUGAUGACCUUCUUUGGUUGGUCAACGAGGUGAAAUAGGUGAUCAGGAAAUCAAUGCAUGCGUUGGAUAAAGAUUACGAUGUUGAUGGAAUUACGAUAAGGGAAAAGUAAAAAUGGUGAUGUGCUUGAAAGAUGACUUUACACGUGGUGGUGAUAAAAGAUGGCAGUAAUUAUCUUGUUGAGUAGGCUAAAUGAUUUAGCAUAUUGGUAUAGACUUUUGCGUUAUGAGCCAGCAUGUGGUUGAUGGAUAUUUGGGAUAAUUCAAGAGGUUUAGUCUCGGUUGGUUUCUAGGAAAUCACCAAGGCCACGGGAUCAAUUUGGGAUAAUUUGAGAAGUUUAAGUCUCGGUUGAUUUCUAAGGUUAAGGGAUCAUGCAUACUUGAGAGAAUAUUCCCAUUAUUGACGACGACAAUCCUAGUGUUCUGCUAUUAUAAAUACAAGGGGUCAUCAUUCUAAAGGUCCCUUUCAAUUCAACACACAACUACCCUGCGCAAAUUCUCUCAACAACCUUGAGACUUUUUCCUUUUCUAUUUUCGCUGACACACCUUCAGUUUGGAUAAACAGCACUGUGAAGGCAACCGGUAGUAUCUUCAAUCGGCAUACAUAACACUGUCACUGUAGAAUCAGCCGACCUCACAGCAUCUUCAGUUUGGAUAAACAGCAUUGCGUCGAGGGCGACUGGUUAUCUAUCCAAGUCUUGAUCGAGAAGGAUUUCCGAGUCCUUGUUGGUUGAGGUCAUCUCAUCAGCCUUCUCGGCGAAGUGAGGUGUUAUAGUUUAUUGGGCUCGGCACACUACACGCCGAGUUAUUUUAUGAUUGGAUACUCACAAGUGGGAUUUAAAGUUUGGCAUUCAAACGGCCGAACCACGUUUACUGUUAAGACUUAUAUUUGCUUUGAGUAUUUAUGCCCUUACACUUUGGUGUCGAUUCAGCGUGAGUUUACUCUGACGAAUAUUAUCACUGUGACCGAAUUCGACGACAACGAUUUGUGAACUUCGUAAGAAUAGUAGCCUUGUCUUCAGGUUCGAGAACCCAAGAGGCCGAGACGUGUUCCUUCCUCGGUCGCAAUAGCAAGACGCAAAAGUCGACCGCAUACCCAACGCAACGUCAACAAAUUUUACUCAUUGGCCGAGCUCGGUCGACGAGUUGGCACGCCCCGCACACAACCGAAGGACGUAGUUAGCUCAUAGAUUACUUAGCCUGCGUGCCACGUAGGCUUGGUAGUUUUUAGGGUCAACAUUUUGGCACGUCCAGUGGGACCUAGUGCUAAUACUACGAAGUUCAUAUGAUAUAUCAAGAUUCCAAUCUCGUUCAAUGCAGCUGAUUGUGCGAGCUCUUAGAGGAAUUGAAAAAACACAAUGAGGAACGUAAAAAAUCUUAGGAAGUGGAAAAAGUUCUUCGUGGCCAUAGAGAGAUGCAAAAGUCAUUCGCUUACAUGUUGAGAAUAAACGCUCAUGUUACCCUGCAUGAGCAAAGGGUACAUGAAGACAGGGCUCGAUUUAAUGCCUGGCUAGAUGGAGAACAUUUUCCUUACGUUUUCGACUACUUAUCAAUUCCAUUUGAGGAAUGGUUGGUUGAAAAUACCGGGGGGUAAUUUUUCGCUCCGGCCGUAAUCAAACAUCGGCCUAAGAAAAUUGUUAAUUUGGCCAAAGAACAAAGGCCACCUAUUUUUUCGGUCGAGGCUGAAAAUAUGGUCGGCCAAGACAAAAAACCUAGGCCACCUAUUUUUUCGGUCGAUAUUGAAAGUGUGGUAGGCCUAGAAGGAAAAAUUCAAGUUUAUGAGCCACAAAUCGACUCAGAAAAUGAUUCGACUGAACAGUGCUCCAAUGAUGAACAAGGCUGAGACAUAGGCCUAGUCGGAAAAACCACGACAAUUGAUAUGAUUAUUGGUGAUAAAGCCGAUAUGGAGAAAUCUCAUUCGGUUAAAUUGUUUAAGUUAAAAGUUGAAAUUGGCAAAAUUAUUAUGCCCGGGGGGCGUAGUAAUUGUUCAAUACAUUCAGUAGUCGAUGAUAAAAAAUAUUUCACUAAGUCAAAAGUAUUUGGAGAUGAUUCUUUAUUCGGCCUAGAGCAAAAUCAAUUUCAAAAUUUUGUUAUUACAAGAUCUCGGCUUGGAAUAAAGCAUCGUUGGCCUUCUCCUGACUAUGGUUCGGCUACUUUUAUUUCCAUUUAAAAAAAAUAAAAAAGAAUAAAUUAUUUUCUUAAUCAUCUGGCUAAUUAAGUCGAUGCAUAAGAAAAUAAGGGGGCAACAACACUGCAACAAUCCAAAUAUAUAUAUAUAUAUAUAUAUUAGUUGGCCGAGGAAGUAAUCCAAAUUUGCUAAGAAGACGUGAUAUUGCAGCAUGUAUUUCAUUGUGUGUUUUCUGACGGUCGAGAGUCGGAAAAAAAAAAAACACUUUCAGCCUUUUAGGCCGAGGAUAAGCAAGAAGCAUAAGGGAUUUCAAAGGCCAAGAGUCGGGAAGAAAAUUCAGUGGAAUUGGAUUUCGGUGGGUCUGCACGGCCUUGGAUCUCACUGAGGUGAGGUUUACUGUUAAGACUUAUAUUCGCUUUGAGUAUUUGUGCCCUUACACUUUGGUGUCGAUUUGGCGUGAGUUUACUCUGACAAAUACUAUCACUGUGACCGAAUCCAACGACGACGAUUUGUGAACUUCGUAAGAAUAGUAGCCUUGUCUUCAAGUUCGAGAACCCAAGAAGCCGAGAUGUAUUCCUUCCUCGGUUGCAAUCACAAGACGCAGAAGUCGGCCGCGCACCUAACGCAACGUCAACAAAUUUUACUCCUCGGCCGAGCUCGGCCAAUGAGUUGGCACGCCCCACACACAACUGAAGGACUUAGUUAGCUCAUAUAUUACUCGGCCUACGCGCCAUGUAGGCUUAGUAGUUUUUAGGGUCAACAGAUUCAAAAACGAAAAAAUCAUACUUCUUGACGAGACGAAGAUAAUGGUACUUUUCUUGACCGCUAACUCGUCGUGGUUUGGCAGGAAAAAAGCUCGAAAGUGCCACUUUCGAGCCCUUUUUUUAUUUUUUAUUUCUCAGGUGAUUAAUACAAAAAAUAAGUGAGGAAUUUUGACAUGCAUCAAANAAGCAUAAAAAUUACUUUUGUCGAAUUUACUUUUUCUCAUAAGCUUAAGAACUACUGCUUACAUAACUCAUAAGAACUUUUAAUUCUUUCUUGGGGUAAAAGUGAAACGACAUAGGUCAUUAAGGAUUAAGCGAGUCGAAUCAGUCUUUAGAACUCGGUCGUCGAUUUGCUUCAACAGCCUACCUUCCCCCGCUGGGAGCGAUUGUGAUUUUUCAAAAUUUGAAGUCCUCAGAAAAGAAUUCAAUUCCAUUGGGUUGAGUGUCAUUGUCCUCAUCGUCGGCAUAUUCGAUGGCUUUGUGGGUAGUGUGUACGUGACCAUGAGUUUUGGUUAAGCAUGCCCUCCAUAUUUGAUUUUCAAUUCCUACACAAAUAGAAGUAUGCAACAAUCAGGUACGCAUUUACAUCAAUGAAUAAUAGAGGGGAGAAGAACAAGGUAGGGAUGGGAUGGAUCUUGACCCACAUGGAAUUGAUGUGUGAUUCUAUAGGAAUUGUGACCAACCAAAUGUUUAGGUUUAUUUUUUUUUCCCAAAUCUUUUCAUUUGAAGGAGAAAAUAUGUGUCCUUUGUCAUAUAUAAAAUAUAUAUGCCCUACCAGUCACCUAGUUGAUCAUUUGGGUAAUCAAAUUAUCUGUAUUAAAUUGUGGAGCACUUCCUUCUAAUACAGGUAAUACCCAUUAAUCUAAUCUAAUUGAUACAUUACAUUACAAAUUUUGUUUUUUUUAAAUGUGAUUAGUUGGUAGCUUCACUAUGACAGUUCACCUUUUUUAGGGCCGAAAAGACUCACAGAAAUAUUUCAGACUCUCCAUAGGCACUUCAUCAGCUCUAGAAAUCGAAUACAAUACGUAUUAUGUAGAAUACGAGCCAGAUACCAUUUCUUUAAUUAAAAACAAAUAUUGGUUUAAAAAAUCAAGGUUUUGGUCCAAUGUGCAUUUUCAGCACUCAACCAAAAGCAAAACACUUCACGAAUCAUGGCCAUGAGAUGUGCCCUUUUGACAAAAAAUUAAUAAGUAAUUAAUUUGGCUUUGACAACCCCAAUUAUCCCCUAGAUAAUACCAUUUUAUAAUCCUAAUGAUUAAAAUAUUGAAUCAAAGGUUUCACAUGGUGGUUAGUCGCUAUCGAAUAAAUCUAAUUGAUGCUACAACACAACAAGUUGUCCCACUCCACAUGAUGCUUCAUCCGUGUAAUCCAUAUAUAAACCAAUCUUUCCAAUACCUAAUUAAACCCCGUAUUUAAUUAUAUUAUCAUCCCAGAAUCAUGUGUACAUUUUUAUGUUUAUAUAUAUUGGAAAAUAUAUUUUUAUUUAUUUAAUUCUCUAAUCAAUGAAUUUGAGCAAGAUGCAUAUGGUCAUGGUUUGCUGAAAGCAUAUAGAAUAUCAUCAAGGUGACAAAUUAAUCCACAGAACAUAUUUUGAAUGAUGAAACUUGUAGUAAAAAUCACUCUCUAUUUUUUAUUUUAAACCUUAUGUUUUCAAAAAUGUGUCCAUUUUUUCUUCUUCUAUGUAAGCUAAUUGGAAUUAAUUUCAACUGCGGAUCCAAAAAUUAUACUCAUGAGGUCUUGGUGUAUAUAAGAUUUAUGUCUAGUUAGAGCAUUGAGGCAUUUUGUCAAGCAUUUUAGUUGCAUGUAAACAUUUGUCAAGCCAUGUGCUAGGCGAUCGAUAUAUGGAGAGCCAUGUUGCAUCUAUCAAGCAAUGUUGUUGAAGCUUGCCAAGCAUCAUUACCGAGAUCUGUCGAGCAUGCAUAUCAUCAAAACAUUAGUAGGAAAGGGACCUACCAAUCCAUUCUCCUAUCUUUCGGGGGUCUUGGGACCUGAUGGCCCUUUAAUGGUGUAGAGAGCUACUUCCGUAUUCGAGACCAGAAUAUCGUCUCUCGUUUUCACCUCCUUUGCAAUGAAGAAAAAAACUCAAAAAAGGAACUAGAUUUCCCACAAUUAGCCUGCCAGCUGAAGCAACGUGACUGAAUUACUUAAGCUUGAAUUAACCCAAUAUCAAGCUAAGAGAGUUAACCGCACUUUCAAUACACUUCCAACCCCUAUACCAAUAAUAUUGUUCAACCCAUUAAUUAAAUUUCAUUGCCUCUACCAACCAACAGUCCAGAAAACCAGCUGAAAACUUAUGUGUUUGCCAAUAUGUUAGUUGCCCUCUACCCAUCUCCCAUCUUCCAUCUUCCCAUGAUUCAAGCAAGGGCAACCUUCUCUAUCUUUAUUUCUUCUUUAUUCAAGUUUCUGUUAGAGGUCGCACUUGGUGUGAUGGCAAGUGCCUCGCCCAUGAGCGGUAGUCUCGGGUUCGAGACUUGGGAGCAGCCUCUCCAUAAAUGGGGUAAGGCUAGCCGACAUUCACCUCUCCCAGACCCUGCUAAAGCGGGAGAGCCUUGUGCACUGGGUAGACCUUUUUUUAUUCAAGUUCUGUUACAUUUUCAUUUGUCUUCCCAACGGCAACGAAAGGGGAUUGACAUAGCUUGAGAGACCUAAUUGUUUUUCUUGAUCAAACUGAAACCCCAAACUGGCAUUGUCAUAAAUUUCACCAAAUGAAACUAUUAGCUAAUAUCUUGUAUUUAGCUCCGGAAUCCGAUCCAUUUGAAUAUUACAAAUGCAUACGAUACGUCAAUUACUUCCAAAUGGAAUACAUAUAACGAGAGCCACUAUGUUAUCUAUUUAUCAGUCACAAUUGCAUAACUAGACGGCUUUUGAUUUAAGUGAGUUUUUUUAUACUUUAAUCAUAACCUAGAAAAUGAUCGUUCAGUUAUAAAAAUAUUGUACAAUAAACAUAUAUUAAUGAUUAGAACGUCGUAAAUUACUUACUGGUUGACUUGAACGGUCUAUAUUUUAAUAUGAACAAAGAGAUAUCCAACAAAUUGGUCAAUUUUGGAGCGAGGAUCCCUGUGAUUCUCAAAUCACAUCCGUUCAUCAUACAUCGUAUGGUCAAAAAUCAUUGUAAAUUUUUUAUUUAAAAUUGAAUAUAAAUAGUAGUUAUGAAAACUGAUCGACGAUAUACGAUAAAUUGAUGUAAAAUUCCCAAAUCUUCCCAAAGAGAUCCGGCAAAUCCUCUCUCAUUUCCUUGCCAUAAGAUAUUGCAUUUGGUGGCAAUGAAAAAUACUAGCACGCAUAAUCAUAUACAAGUAAACCAAAUGUUUAAUUAGAUAUUUGCAAGUACAAUCUACAUGUUCGAUUUGAGUACAAGACAACUUUGCCUAACAAGAAAAAAAUACAAGGUGAAGAGACAAGAAGACUCAUAUGAUGACUAGGGUUUCGAUUAAUUUUGGUUAAUAAGUCAAAAAAAUUUGGCAAAGAACGGUAGUUGCCCAAGUCUAAUCCUUUGGAAUACAAAUGAGCAUACUCAAACUACACAAAAACAUAAACUUGUUUUAAAUGUUAAAUUAGGUUAUGUCUUGUCAUUGGGCUAUUUACAUUAUUAGUGACAUGAAAAGUUGUCAACUCAAAAAUGAUCAAAUGUAAAGCAAAUAACAUUUAUUAGUGACAUAUAACAUUUUAGUUAAAAAAGAGCCAUGUCAAGUAAAAGUUACUCAACAGAAUAGAAAGUUAGAUUUGAUUCAACCAUUCCAUUAUACAUACACAACUCGUUAAACUCACCGUCACUUAGUCCUAUAUAAAUUUACGUAAGAAUAAUUCUCACUGAAGAUUACUUUAAGAUCAUCUUCAAUAUAGAUGUCAAUUUAAUUUUAUACCAUGUGGAGAUAAAUUUUUCCAGGAGCUUGAGAAGAAAUGUGCGGUGUACAUGCGACGCGAUGUGUACGGCACCAUGGGACGCGACGGAUUGCCGGUGAAGGAGAAAGUGCUGCUAGGGCUCGCGCUGGUGACUCUGGUUCCGAUACGGGUGGUUCUAACGACGACGGUGUUGGUGCUGACGACGACGGUGUUGGUGCUGUACUACUUGAUUUGCCGGAUUUGCACUCUCUUCAAAGUCCCCAAUCACGAUGAGCAGGAGCAGGAGGAUUACGCGCACAUGGGAGGAUGGCGGCGGGCGGUGAUUGUCCAGUGCGGCCGCGCCUUAUCCAGAGUAAUGCUCGUUGUCUUCGGCUUCUAUUGGAUCAGCGAAACCCAUCGAAUAUCAUCGGAUUCUGACCCCAAACCCGCCGCCCAGGUACUCUCUCUCAUCGUUUCUCUCUCUAAAGCAUGAAAAUUGAUUUCGUGAGAUUUUGAGCAGUGAAUUUUGAUGUUAAAUUUUUGGUUAGGGAAAAGAUGGGGCCGAAGAGAAGGAGCCUGAAAGGGCAGGGGCGAUUAUAUCGAAUCACGUUUCGUAUUUGGAUAUCUUGUAUCACAUGUCUAAUUCGUUUCCGAGCUUCGCUGCCAAGGUUUGCCACUCUCUUCACUUGUUCUUACUAAUUUUAUGGCACCGGAUGUGAAUUUUGAUUGAAAGAUGUUCCAUUUUUAUCUAUCUCGACCUAUUAUCUAUGUAUUGAUUCCCAUUUUUUGUUAUCCUGGAUUUUGUUGGUGAAGAGAUCGGUGGCGAAAGUUAGUAGUGUUAGACCGGGUCGUUAGUUUGUUUGAAGUCUUGUAUUUGGUUUCAAAGACUUCUCUCUUCGGAGUUGGAUAGGCUUAGGACUUUAUGUAAAUAGGGUUUUCAAACCCUGAAUGUAAUCUAUAUAUUGGCUAUAAAUAUACGCAACCCAAGUCUUUCUGGGUAUGCAAAGUUGAUGUGAAGCAACCCUCUUGUCAAAUAUACAAAACCUGCAGUCUCUUUUCAAAGACUGUUUCAUUUGCUUUCGCUUCCUUUAAUUUCAUUAUGUUUCUGAAAAUCUGUAGUUUAUCUGUCACCAUAGUAUUCCGUCAAUUCAUUUUCGGAUUGUUAGUUUUGACAGCAAGUGCCUGGGUUGUGUCUAUAUUCAGCGGGAGUUUUGUAAACACUCGUAAUGUGUUCACCGUAACUCGUGUGUUAUUGGAGGUAUCUAAGUUGAAAACUAUGAUCGAUCACAAGCGGAUUAUAUAACGAGUUUUCGGUUGGCUCCAGAGAGGAAGUAGCUGAACACCGAUUAUCCAAGAGGGUUCGAGUCAGAUUGUUGCUUACGGGAGGAGGUAAGAGCUCAGAACUAAUGGGAGAUUUCUCCAUGGCAUUGGCUUUUGCACUCUAAAAUGGAGGAAAGCUCGGGAGGACGGAUACAUCUAGCACAAGUUCAAUGCUUUAAAUGAAGUUUAUAAAAUUAACGAUUUAAGUUUUUAUGAUGAAAAUACAUUAUUCAAAAAAGGUGAAAUAUGUUCAUUACCCUGUGUGAAGAACGCGAGUAUGGAAGGAUUCUACUAUAAAAAAUAAGGGUGGGCAUAAAAAUCAUGGAACCGUGAAACCGAAUCGAACCACAACAAAAGAGACCAUAAAAUACAGUGUUGACAAAAAAAAAUAAUAAAUAAGUCAACUUAGGUUAUAGAACCGGACUGAAUCGUUCAUACCAAUUUCGAUUCUAGUUUUCACCUUAGAAGAACCGGCCAAACCAAAAUGAACGGCGAUUUUAAAUAAUUAAUCAAAAUUUAUUAGUUGUAUACAAGCGUCAUUAGAUAAGUGGUAAAAAACAAAUUGGUUUCACGUACUGCAACUGCACUUAAUCAUUUCUCAAUUAGGUUUUGUGUUCUUUCUUUUGAUCGAAUCGUCAUUCCUUAGUGCCUCGCUCGUUUGAUCCUCCUCCUCCAGUCCUUCCUCUCAUGAUAUUGGAAUCAAUUGUAGCAAUGCAAAUGGGCAUUCAAGGCCAGAUAAUUUAUUCCCUUCUGUGAUUUUUAUAUGGCAUUUGACUUGGUCUUGUACGUUGUGCUCUCAAAAAUUUAAUCAUGCCAUCAUGACGUAUUUCAACCAGUUACCACUUCUUGGUUCUUGGUUUUCUUACAAAGUCGGACUCAUAUUCGUUAUUUGGGCUGCAAGUAAUAAAUGCCCAAGUCUCCUCUGGAUCUCCCAAAAAAAAUAUCUAUCGUUAAAAGGAUAAACUCUAGACUAAUAAUACCAUAACUUUAACUAUUUAAUUAUUGAAUCAAUUGAUACUUUUAACAAUAAAUUAAAAAGGUGUUUCAAAGUUUUGACCUUGAGUAAGGACUUACUGAUCACUACUUUUUUCGUUAUUGAUACCAGCGUUUGUUUAUACAUUUUGUGUGUAUGAAUAUUUUUUUUAAAUGAGAAGGAGAGAGAGAGAGGUUUUUGUUUUUGGUUUUAUUUUUUAUUUAUUUUAAAUAUUACAAAUACUUUAACAUAACCUGUGAGGUUUCAAUAAAAACAGUAAAAUUUAGACCUAUGAAAUUACAUUAUUGCUCAUUAUUUAUUUUUUUUUAUGAUAGAAGACUAAAUAGUAUUUUCACCCUCUUUUGAUUGACAAAGGGAGUUAUAUUAACUAAUAGAAAUGCAGUAAUGAUAACUCGUCCUCCUUCAAAGUAACAUGGUGCGAAUUGGUCGACGAGCGGGUUAGGGGUGGCUGUCGAGAUGAUGGGGUGAUUGACUUUUUGUGAGUUUAUUUGUAUUUCUUUAAUUUUUAUUAUAAGAAAAGGAUAAAUUGCAUUUUGCACCCUUAAAUUUUAGUGAGAUUGCAUCAUCAUAUAAUAACUUUAAAAUAUUUCAAUCUCAUAUAUUUACUUAUCAUUUAUUUCAAUUUUAAACGUUCGUUAAAAAAUCUAUUAAGUUAACAGUUAAGUGAUGAUGUGGCAAAUAUAGAGUCCUUGAAAAGAAGACAAAAGGAAAAAAAAAGAAUAAAGCUUUAGUUAACGUUCCAUUAAAAGAUAGGCUUUUUAAUCAAAAUAGUCCUUGAGAUUUGCAUAACACAUCACUUUGGUCCAUAAGAUUUGAAAUCAAUAGAAGUGGUCCUUGAGAUUGUCCACUAUCAAUCAUUUUGGUUCUUAUGUGCAAAAUUAUGUUAAAUAAGGAUCAAAAUGAUAAAUAUACCUUCAAUUUAAUAAACAAUGGGCCAAAAUGAUUUGACAAAAUUAAGAGUAUUUUUUCAUUAUAUUCUUAUUUAAUGAAGAUUUUUAAAAAAAUGACCAAAAUGAUUGAUGAUGGACAAACUCAAGGACCAAUUCUAUUGAUUUCAAAUCUCAAUGAUCAAAGUAAGGAGUAAGGAGUUAUUAAAUCUCAGUAACCAUUUUAGAUAAAAAGCCUAAAAAAUAUCUAAUGGCUGAGCAUGUGAAUCCUCAUUUUUUACCUUCACCUGAAGAACCUAAAUAUUAUAAGAUUUAAUUUAAUUCAAGUCCAAUUUGAGAGUCAAUAUUAAGAAUAGUCCAUUUCUCGUGAUCUUUGACAUAAGUUCAUUCCACGUCAUCUAUUAUAUAUAAAGAGAGAAGAAAAGGUGAAUAGUAUUUUGGUGUCACCAAGCUUCAACAAAAGAAAGGGACAAAAAUGCCCCAUAAACAAAAAACUUCAAAGGCAUCCCAAAAUAAUGCAUCAAAUAAGGUAGGGGCAUUUUUGUUAUUUUAAUAGUAUUUUUUUAAUAAUUAAAUUAUUUUGUGGUUUUUUUUUAAUUAUUACCUCACAAUAGGCUACCAAUUAUUUGAUUCAAUUUAUCUAUUUCUAAACAAGACGUGUAAUGCCGAUUAUAAAAAGGAUAUUUCACACGUGGAUAAUAAUGUGAUUAAAUUAGUUGUCAAAUGAUUGUUUUUUUUGUUGUUGUAACAAAUGAUAUUAUCUAUACUAAGGGGGAGGAAUGUGAGUUUAGCCUCACAAUGGGCUAGCAACAAUGUGAUUCAAUCAGUUGUUUAUUAAAUAUUAUUUUAUCUAUUUUAAACACGUUCAAAAAAUCUUAAGAGGCUUGUAAUGCCGGUUAUAAAAAAAGUCUUUCGCACUCGUAUAAUAAUUUGAUUAAAUUAUUUGUUAAAUGAUUAUUUUUUUUAUUAACAAACGAUAUUAUCUACAUUAAGAGGAAUGAGGUGGGCUUAGCCUCACAAUGGGCUAGCAAUAAUGUGAUUCAAUCAAUUGUUUAUUAAAUAUUAUUUUCUCUAUUCUUAAUGUAAAAUUUAUAGAGAUCGAUUUUAUUAUGUGAAUUCAACUGCUUUAAUUGGUUUAUGAGGGGUUUCUUCUAGCAUGAUAUAAGAUUAUUCAUUUACUUCAAAUAUUUGACUUUCCUUUUGUCAAUUUACACACAUAUAUACAUUUAAAACGUAUAAGUCGCGCAUAGCACGUUGUGAUUCAAAAAAUAUCUUCUGCACGUUCGUGAGCGCAUGCAUAGAAGCUAGUUUUUAUUAUCUUUUAAAUUGUUAAUCUUUAUUUCAAUUUGGCCCUUAUAUUUUAAAUUAUCUCUACUCCUUUUUUCAAGGAUUUUUACUUCUCUUUUUAAAUAUCCAUUGCUAGUUUGAAUUUCUCCCUUUUGAAUUCCAAAAAGAUGGGCAUCCGCCCAUUUUCAACCUGCACACGAAAUCAAACACAUAGACAAAGUAAGUAACACUAAUGACAUGUUUACGUAAGGGUAAUCGGAAUAAAGAAAGGGAAUUGAAUUCCGAUUACGGAGUAUUCCGGUGUUUACUAAAUAUUAAGGAAUCAAAAAAGUGGUGGAGCCCACACGAAACAAGGAAUCCAAUUCCUGAAAUUGGAGGAACCGGAUUCCCUAGUUUUGUGAGGUAUUUGAAUUCCCUAAGGGCAAGGGAAUCAGGAAUGCAUCUUUUAUUCCAAUUAUGCCCUCACUUGUUUCUUAUUAUCCCAACAUUGCCUUUCAUUUGACACUCAUUAUGUCAUUUUUAAUAAAUAAAUAAAACCUAUUUAUAUUUUUUUAUAUAGAUAAUUUUAUUAUAUAAAUUUAAUUAAGAAUUUAAUUUAAUUAAUUAGUAUGAAAAUAAUUUAUUUAUGUAAGGGCAAUUUAAGAGGUUGCACUUGGUGCGAUGGCAAGUGCCUUCGCCCAUGAGCGGUAGGUCUCGGGUUCGAGACUUGGGAGCAGCCUCUCCAUAAAAUGGGGGUAAGGCUAGCCGACAUUCAUCUCUUCCAGACCAUGCGUAAAGCGGGAGUCUUGUGCACUGGGUACGACCUUUUAUGUAAGGGCAAUUUAGUCAUCAACUUAGUUUUCAUUCCGAUUGAAGUGAAUUAGUAAACAACUUAUAUAGACUCAAUAUCAUUUUUGCCAUCUUUUAAUAAAUAAAUAAAACCUAUUUAUACAUGCUUAUAUAGAUGAAUUUUAUUAUAUAAAUUUAAUUAAGAAUUUAAUUAAAUUAAUUAGUAUGAAAAUAAUUUAUUUAUGUAAGGGCAAUAUAGUAAUCAACCUAGUUUUCAUUCCGAUUGAAAUGAAUUAGUAAACAACUUAUAUGGACUCAACAUCAUUCCUACUCCGAUUCCUGACAGUUUUAGUAAACAACUUCAACAGGAAUCUGAUUCUGAUUCCACCUCAUUUCAAUUCCUCCUCAAUCCAAUUCCCCCUCAAUCUAAUUCCUCUCAAUUUGAUUACGGAUUAGUAAACACGCCAUAAAAUUUGUUGACGUAGGGUGUGUGGUCCAGGUAGUCGUAGUACAUUGGAUCACAUCCAUCACGUGCCAACGAAAACGGAUCUCUAUUGAAAUGCCGCAAUAUUAUAUGAAAAAUGUUAAGAAGAUUUUGUUGACGUAGGGUGUGUGGUCCAGGUAGUACAUUGGAUCACAUCCAUCACGUGCCAACGAAAACGGAUCUCUAUUGAAAUGCCGCAAUAUUAUAUGAAAAAUGUUAAGAAGAUUUUUUUUAAAAUGAAAUUAUAUAUAAAUUUCUGUUACUUCAUAAUUUAACGUUAAUUUUUGUGCAAAUAUUAUAGAACAUUGUGCAAAAAAUGAUGGGUUAAAAAGUUCACACAAAGUCACACUUUACGAGAAUAUUCUUAACAUUUUUUUAUGUUAUAUUGUACACAAACUAGAAAAUAUUAUAUAAGUUUAAAUAAUAAAGAUAAAGCCACGUACAGCCCUCGAAGAAAUAUCACACUUUUCACUAAUCAGCUUGAUGCUCCUUAAGUACUCAUGAGUUUUUUUGUUAUUGUUUUUUUACUAAUAAGUUUAUAAUAAUAAAAAUACCAAAUUAUAUUGUCAGACAACGUUGAAUAUGUAGGUUCAUAUGUUAAUUAUUUGAGGGGUUCUUUUAGGGCCAAUAAAAUAUAAGCAACGCCAACUUCGAAAAGGAACUACAAAAGAAACAACUUGUGAUGAUUACAAGAAUGACUCUGCACUUAAAACUACCAACGAAGUCAUUAAUUGUGUAUGUACCAUACUUCACCAAUCCCGAAACUACUGAGUACCGGUCAACGUUAUACCGUCAAUGACCCAGAAGAAUUUCCCUCCAACCAGGAAGCCAAUCGUAGCACGACACGUGUCGACAUCAGAAGCCAAUCAUAGCGCGACAAUGUCAACAUCAGAAGGCAAUCAUAACACGACAUGUGUCAAUGUCAGAAUGAAACUAGAAAGUCUCUUCUAUAAAUAUAGAUCAUUCUUUCACAAUAUUUCAUAAUGUCAUUUGUACUAAAUCAUUCACUUGUACUCACUAAAUGAGAGCUUGAACCUAUGUACUUGUGUAAAUCAUUUGCAAUUAAUGAGAACUCCUCUACUCCGUGGACGUAGCCAAUCUGGGUGAACCAUGUACAUCUUGUUUUUGCUUCUCUAUCUCUAUCCAUUUACAUACUUAUCCAUACUAGUGACCAGAGCAAUCUAGCGAAGGUCACAAACUUAACACUUUCUGUUGUACCAAAGUCCUCACUUAUUUUGUGCAUUAACAAAUUGCAUUAUGAUAAAUUGUACCAACGUCACCAUGAGACAUGAAAGAAAGACUCAAGCUCAAAAAGAAAAAUCUAACAUGGACGAAAGUCGCACUAUCUAUUAUAUAUCAAGCGAAUAGGGCAAUGAAUAGUGCCAAUUUGGUGUCACAGCUUUGACAAAAUAUUAGGACAAAAUUGCCCCUCAACCAAAACAAAUCCAAAAACAGCCCAAUAUAAUAUAUCAAAUAAUGCAGGGGUAAUUUGGUCAUCAUAAAAUAUAAUAUAAAUAUAAGUGGGAAGAGAGAAAAGAAUAAAAAAAAUAAAAAGAUGAGUAAAAGUUGAUGGUGCCCUCGUAAGGGGGAAAGAAAAAUAUAAUUAAAAGGAAAAUCAUGAAUAUUUUGUUCAAAACAUCUUACGAGGCGCGUAGUGCCAGUGAUAAAUUAGUACAUUUAAAAAAAAAAAUUAGUACCUUAUAAUAUGGGUGGGCACGAGCCGGGCCGGGUAUCACAAAUAUGAUCACUGAAACCGGACCUAACUCGGCAAAUUUGAUCACUGGAACCAGACCUAACUCGGCCCGUUUGAAAUGGCCCGGUUCGGGAUGGGUCCACGGGUCAUUUUUUCCGGUUUUGAACCCCUCCCGAACUCGCCAUCAUCCAGAAUCCUAGAUCCUAUAUCUUCGACUCUGAUACCAGAACCAAAACCUAAUUGUUUUAAAACCUCAAUUCUCAAACCAAACAAACAAACAAAAAAAAUCAAAAAAUUAGAAGGUUGGGGGAGAGAGAGAUCAAGAGGGAGGAGGUUGAGAAUCGACAAAUCCAAGGUGUGAGAAAUCGGAGACAUAUGCGUUGGGAGAGAGAGAGAGACUAGGGGAGAGAGAGAUCGAGAUGGAUGAGGUUGAGAAUCGACAGAUCCAAGGUGUGAGAAAUCGGAGACACAUGCAUUGGGAGAGAGAGAGAGAUUGGGGGGGAGAGAGAUCGAGAUGGAGGAGGUUGAGAAUCCACGUAUCCAAUGUGAAAUCGAAGACAAAGGUGUCGGGAGAGAGACUGGGGGAGUGAGAGAGGGAGGAGACUGGGUAGAGGAGAGUGACGAGAGCAUUCGAGAAGGUGUGAGACACUGGUGGAGGUUGCGGUGGGGUGUGGGUGUGGUGUGUCUGCUUCGGGAAUGAGAGUUGCAGAGAUAUGUGUGGUAAAGGUAGGAGAGGCAUGGAGAGUUGCAGAGAUGGGAGAGGAAUGAAGAGUUGCAAAUAUGGGAGAGAAUGAUCAAGAUAAGAGAGAGUGAGUGAGCCAAGGUGACAAUGUUCUCGAGAUUGAGAACUGUCACGGGAUGCCUGGGAGACAGUAAUCUUUUCAAAAUUGGGAUGUUACACAAACGGGACCCCGGGUACCCAUUUUUUUUAUAAUUUUGGACUCAGCCCACCCCUAAAAUUCUAAAGCCCUGCCCUGCCCCGCCCCGUUUCUCUUUUUAAAAAUUAAGAACCAUCCCGUACCCGCCUCGACCCGCGGUUCCUGUACCCGUUUGCCCACCCCUACCUUAUAAUAGACUAGCAAUAAUGUGAUUCAAUCAGAUGUUGUGAAUAGUGAUUUUGGUGUCACCAAACUUCAACAAAAAUAUUUAGACAAGAUAAAAAAACUUCAAAGACAUCCCAAAAUAAUGCAUCAAAUAAGGCAGUUUCGUCAUUUUAAUAGUGAUUCACAAUAAGCUAGCAAUAAUGUAAUUUAAUUUCUCUAUUUUUAAACACGUUCAAAACAUUUUAAGAGGCGUGUAAUGCCGGUUAUAAAAAAGGCAUUUCACAUGCGGAUAAUAAUAUGAUUAAAUAAGUUGUCAAAUGAUUGUUUUUUUUUUCUUUUCAACAAACAAUAUUAUCUAUACUAAAGGAAGGGGGUGGGCUUAGCCUCACAAUGAGUUAACAAUAAUGUGAUUCAAUCAGUUGUUUAUUCAAUAUUAUUUUCUCUAUUUUUAAACACUUUCAAAACAUUGUAAGAAGCGUGUAAUGCCGGUUAUAAAAAAAGUCUUUCGCACGCGGAUAAUAAUGUGAUUAAAUUAAUUGUCAAAUGACUGUUUUUUUUUUUUUUUUUUACAAACGAUAUUAUCUACACUAAGGGGGAAGAGGGUAGGCUUAGUCUCACAAUGGGCUAGUAAUAAUGUAAUUCAAUCAAUUAUUUAUUAAAUAUUAUUUUCUCUAUUCUUAAUGUAAAUUCUAUAGAGACCGAUUUUAUUAUGUGAAUUCAGUUGCUUAAUUGAUUUAUGAGGGAUUUCUUCUAGCAUGAUCUAAAAGUAUUCAUUUACUUCAAAUAUUUGACUUUCCUUUUGUCAAUUUACACAUAUAAAUACAUUUAAAACGUAUAAGUCGAGCAUAGCACGUUGUGAUUCAAUGAAGGCUAGUAAUCUAUAAAACCCACAUCAUAAAAAUUCAACUUCAUCUCUUGCCAAACCCACACUACUCAAAACAACCACAGAUUGAAGAUUUUGAUAGAAAAAUUGGAUUGAAAAAGGAUAAAAAAAUAAUUGAUAGAGAACUCAAAAAUAAGCAAGCUUAAGCACGAACUUAAUCACCACAAAAGGGACUAAAAAAAUUAGUAUGUCAUCAAUGUGUGAUAAAAAAAAUCACUUGGUGGCUUAACCACAACAGUUUACCUUUUUGAGGACCAAAAAGACUUACAGAGUCACUUCAGCAUCUCUUUAACCAAUAUUGUGUGAUUUAUACGUUUCAAGAAUCUAUCUCAAAACAUACCGCAAAUAAAAUAUGAGUCUGAAAUACAUUUUUAAUCAGUGGGUCAUCCCGAAGCAGUUAUAGACCAUUAUUCAAUGUAUAAAAAUCACAAGUGCUAGACCAAUUCCAGGGCAGAGUUUUUUUGUAAGGUUAUUUUCGUUGGACCAGACCAAUUCCAGGGCAGAGUUUUUUUGUAAGUUAUUUUCGUUGGACCAGACCAAUUCCAGGGCAGAGUUUUUUUGUAAGGUUAUUUUCGUUGGACCAAUGAUAUUAAAAUUAUGCAUAGAUCACACAGAAGACAAUCCUAUCUUACUUGCAAGUUGCAUCGAACAGACAAGUAAAGGGUCCAAACCAACCAUGUCAUAAAUAAUCAAGUUCUUCAUAAUGGAUUUGGAUCCUCUCCUGAACUAAUGGAGGGGAUCCUCCUGACUAGUUAUUAUGGGCCAUUAGAUUUUUAUCCAACGGCUAUAAAUAGAGAAGCCACUUUAAAGUUAUAAUAAUUAUAACCGUUAGAUUUUUAUUUAAUGGUUCAUGAUAACUGGUCAGGAGGAUCCUCUCCAUUAUCUCCAGAGAGGAUCCAAAUCCCUUCAGAAUAACCAAAUUCGUCGAGAAAAACGUGGGACCGUGCAAUUUAACGACUUGAUCGUUCUUUAAUAAAUUGUAUAUAGACAAUAAAAUAUUAUGGGAUAAGUUUAAAUAAUAAGUAUAAAGCCAUCUCGAAAGUCGUCGAAGAAAUAUCACACUAUUCACGAAUCAGCUUGAUUGCUCCUUAAUUCAACAUUUGACUAAUGAGUUUAUAAUAUUAAAAAUAAUAAAUUAUAAUAUCAGACAACGUGGCAUAUGCGGGAUCAUAUGUUAAUUAUUUGAGGUUUCUUUGAGGGUGACCCAACUUGUUAUAAAAAUCACAAGCGCUAGAUCAAUUCCAGUUUAGAGUGUUUUUUGUAAGGUCAUUUUCUUGGGGGUAGUGAUAUUAAAUUACAUGGAAGACAACCUCAUCUACUUGUAAGUUGCAACGAACAGACAAGGAAGGGUUGAAUGUCUCAUUUUUCUAUCUUUAAUCAACCACGUCACUCUUAAUUAAAUAGAAAAGUAAUCAAUCACGUAAUUGACGAGUGAGAAAAGUCUUCCAAAAACUACAUAAUGUAGCACCAAUAUGAAUAAUUGCUAUAAAAAAAAAGCACAAAUGAAGCAACCUUAGGAGAACACCAAAGCAGCAGUUGCUGCCUUUUCCAAAUGGUUCCCCCGUUCUUCUAAAAAAAACUCUUAAACUACCAAGGUUUUGUUUUCAUGUGGUAGAAACAUGGAAACUCGUAAAUAACUAAUUAUUUAUAUUAUUACACGUAUUAAUUAUGUUUAAAAGAUAAAAUUAAAUAUAUGCGGGUCGGUUUGGUUAAUUGCACCCUAAGAAUUUUGAUAAUCGAUUAAGGUCAGUGCAGUUUGGUUUAGCCAUCGAAUUUUUUUUUUUAAAAGCCCAAACCAAACCAAACCGCCAGUGCAAUUUGGGCGGUUUAGUUGGUUUUUUAUUUUUUUAAUGCCCAGCCCUAUGUUCUACGUAGAACCCGACAUAAUUUUUUCUCUCAAUAACUAAGAUCCACAUAAGCAAAUUCAUCAAUUAUACUUUACUUAAAAUUUUUUUUUUACAUUUUCAAAUGCUUCAAAUAUUCCUAUUGCAUGUUUGAUGUACACAAUUAAUUCUAUAUGGGCUCUUUUAGGUUUGAUUAUCAUCAAAGAUAAAUUUGAAUCAUAUUAUUACAAACCCAUUGUAAGGCUUAGCUCACUCCCCCACCCUUUUAAUGUAGAUAAUAUUGUUUGCUUAAAAACAAAACAACAAUCUAUCUUUUACCUUUUAGUUGGUCAUAAUUUUUUCAUUUCACCCCUCAACAUACCUCAGAGAUAAAAAGUUACCUAUUUCAAUACAAUCAUACGUACUAAACGAUCCCAUAUUACUCCUAUAUAUACGUGUGUGUAUGACAAGGCGAUAAAUCAACUUAAGCCUUUGCCCAGUUCAUUGCUCAGUUCAGUAAAAAUCAUUUUGUCUCUAGCUUUCUAAUUAUUGAGUUGCAAAAAUGGAUUCUCUCCCAUAUGUAAACUCUAUCACUGCUGGCUUGUUCACAGUAAUCAUCGUGUUCUAUUACUUGUCACGAAGAUGGAGAGCUGCAAAUCACAAGCGCAAAUUAUCACCACCUGAAGCCAAGGGCGGUUGGCCUAUAUUUGGUCACCUUCCUUUGUUUGGAGGCUCCAUACCUCCUCACUUAACUUUGGGAGCCAUGGCGGACAAGUACGGACCCAUUUUCACUAUCCGCCUUGGCGUCCAUCCGUCGUUGGUGAUAAGCAGCAGUGAGAUCGCAAAAGAAUGCUUCACAACCAAAGACUUGAGCAUAAUCUCACGCCCAAGGAUGGUGGUUCUAGACCACGUUAGCUACGACUACGCCAUGUUUGGGUUCGGACCAGGUGGACCCUUUUGGCGAGAAAUUCGCAAGCUAGUCACCUUGGAGUUGCUCUCAGUCCGGAAGGUUGAGCUGCUCAAGCACAUUCGAGUGUCGGAAGUGGCUACUUUCUUAAAAGAAUUGCACGAACUUUGGAGUACAAAGAAAAAGGAGGGCUCGAAAGAUGGAGUGGUUGUAGAGCUAAAGCAAUGGCUUGGGGACAUGACGCUGAACGUGAUUCUUACAAUGGUGGCCGGAAAGCGGUAUUCCGUGGCUGCCGCUGGGGAUGAGAAGAAAGAAGCGCGUAAGGUUCAGACUGCAUUGAGGGAGUUAUUUGAUUAUCUGGGCAUGUUUUUGCUGGGUGAUGCGGUUCCUUAUCUGCGGUGGUUGGAUUGGGGUGGACAUGAGAAGGCAAUGAAGAAAAGUGCAACGGA
rnacentral:lncRNA from 1 species